AGGGAAUUCAUAGCUCUCUCGAAGCGCUUUCGAAGCGCGCAAUAGCUAACUCGGAACGACUUUCUGUGCACUCUACGCGCUUCAUGCGCAACACGGAACGCACACUGUGUCUACUGUUCGCGCAUUGCAUCAUCCGUAUCAUCGUUUCGUUACCCACGUGAGAGACUGCGUCUAUUGUUUAUGAAGUGUCUAAGUAGUAAAUGAAUGUCUAAAGAGGUGAAAGAAGCAAAAUAAUAGCGUCUAAAAAGAUGAAAAAGCAAAUAAACUUUAUCUUGUCAUCUCACAUUACGAUAGAAAAUCGUCUGACAAUAAGUGAAGUGAUCAUGAAACCGGUGCCAUUGCUAAAAAAAUUUCCGUCAUGUGAUGUUACACAGGUUCAAUCAAAAUUUCUCGUUGGUUUUCUACAAGUAAUCAGAGAAAAAUGAGUGCAAUUGAUAUGCUUUAAAAACGUUUUAGUAAAUUAAACAAUCGCAUGCAUAUGAUUAUAAUCUUCAAAAAGUUUUUUUAUUUGUGACAAGUAAUUGUGUACCUUUCAGUGUAUUUUAAGUUGUUGAGAAAUGCAAAAACAAUAUAAGUUUAAUUUGAAAAUAUACGUAUAGAAGAUAAAAUUAAUUAUGUUGAUGCACGAUUGUUUGAUUUCCUAUAAAUUAUGUAAGAUGCGCAGAAGAAAAGCUAAGGCAAACGCAAUAAUGUUAAAUAUAUAAAUAUAUAUACCGCACAUUUUUUUACUCCCGAUUAAGAAAUGCAGAUAAAAUGUUAUUUUUAUUUUAAUAUAAAAUUUAUUUUUGUUAAAUGUAUUUAAUUAUACUAACUGAGAAUUGUAGAUAGCUAUUAAUUUAGUGCAAUACUUCUUGUGUACAAUUUAUUUUUAUUACAUACUACAAAACUGACUAUGUGCGCUAAAUAAUGGAACUACGUUUCCAUAUAUUAUUCUGUUCUUAAAUAAAAAGUUUUUAUUUUAAAAUAGCAUAAA